AGUGACGAUAGCCUAGGAGAUACACCUGUACCCAUGCCGAACACAGCAGUUAAGCCCUAGAACGCCGGAAGUAGUUGGGGGUUGCCCCCUGUGAGAUAUGGUAGUCGCUUAGC
rnacentral:rRNA from 11 species